UGAGAAGUUAUAAUUUUAAUCAAACUGCAAAUAAGAAUUGCCUAUUAUUUCAGAUACAGUAAUUAUUGAUCAACCAUAACAUCUUUUCUUUAUUUCAAUGAUAACUUGAUUACAAUGUAUGUCUAUCGAGGACCACCAAAGAAAAUCAUACGUUGAUCCUUGUCGCUAUAUCCGGUAUCAACUACCUUAUAUAAUUCGCUAGUUUGAAAGUUCAUACAGUCCGAAGGAUCGUGAUCAACCUCAUGAUUUUCGUUUAUGAUCUUUAUACCAGAACCAUAACAAUCGUAAUAUUUACUACCUCCCGGAUAUCCUCCCCCGCCCAUUGGCGGGGUAGCGGCAGUGCCUGGAGGGCUGAAAACCUCACCUCCCCAUUCUACAUAGUUUGCAGAAUCAGCCAUCGCCGUGAAUAUCUUUUGCGGCCAAUAUCCAAUCGUUAUAUUGCGUUUCGCAAUGUUCAAAACCCAAUGUCCAGAUGCAACAUCCUUGAUGAAAAUAGAGAAAAAAACCAUCUUAAUUAAGAAUGUGCGAAAAUCUACAGACUAAAAAGAUUGAACUAAGAAAAAUUGAUCGUUUACCUUGGAUACAAGUAUCGGUACUUGCCACACAUAUUUUCCGAAAUCGGGAUAAAAAUUCUUGAGAACCUGAUCGGGAGGCGACCACGAGCUCGUAAUUAUAAAACCGGG
rnacentral:lncRNA from 1 species